UUUUAAUAUUGAUUUGCGCUACCCACUGCGUCUGCGCAGAAAGCUGAAGGGGGGAGGGGGGAGGAACAUGGCGCAAGCUCUUUCUGAAGAGGAGUUUCAGCGGAUGCAGGCUCAGCUGCUAGAACUCCGGACAAACAACUACCAGCUUUCAGAUGAACUACGCAAGAAUGGUGUUGGUGAGCCAAGAGAGUCUUAUUAUAUGGGAGUGGGUUUGAGGGACAGAGGCCAAGGUUUUACCUCAGAAGCCUGGCAGGAAGACCCUUCAGCUCCUUGCCAUUGCCUGAGGCUGAGAUUCCCUGCUUUCCCUACACUAGAACUUGCCAGUCUUCGACAGAAGGUCGCCUACCUGGAUAAGGAGUUCAGUAAAGCUCAGAAGGCACUGAGCAAGAGCAAGAAAGCUCAGGAAGUCGAGGUACUGCUGAGUGAAAAUGAGAUGCUUCAGGCAAAGUUGCACAGCCAGGAAGAAGACUUCCGUUUGCAGAACAGCACACUUAUGGCCGAGUUCAGUAAGCUCUGCAAUCAGAUGGAACAGCUGGAGCAGGAGAACCAGCAACUGAAGGAAGGAGCUGCUGGAGCAGAGGCCAUCCAAGCUGGCCCCCAUGUGGAUGGGGAGCUGUUAAGACUGCAGGCAGAGAACACAGCCUUACAGAAGAAUGUGGCAGCCCUGCAGGAGCGCUAUGGGAAAGAGGUUGUGAAGUCCUCAAUUGUCAGUGAGGGCCAAGGGGACCCUACAGGGAGCCUGGCCCCCACUGUCCUGACCCCCAUGCCAUUGGCAGAGGUAGAGCUGAAAUGGGAAAUGGAGAAAGAGGAAAAGAGAUUGCUCUGGGAGCAGCUGCAAGGCUUGGAGAGCUCAAAGCAGGCUGAAACAUCCAGGCUGCAGGAGGAACUUGCUAAGCUGUCUGAGAAACUGAAAAAGAAACAAGAAAGUUUUUGCCGUCUGCAGUCAGAGAAGGAGACACUAUUUAAUGACAGCAGGAACAAGAUUGAAGAGUUGCAACAGCGUAAAGAAGCAGAUCUCAAAGCCCAGUUGGCUCGCACCCAGAAGCUACAGCAGGAACUUGAGGCUGCCAAUCAAAGUUUGGCAGAGCUGAGAGAUCAACGGCAGGGAGAGCGCCUGGAGCAUGCAGCAGCUUUGCGGGCCCUACAGGAUCAGGUGUCCGUCCAGAGUGCAGAUGCGCAAGAACAAGUGGAAGGGCUAUUGGCUGAGAAUAAUGCCUUGAGGACUAGCUUGGCUGCCCUGGAACAGAUCCAAACAGCAAAGACACAAGAACUGAAUGUUCUCCGGGAACAGACCACUGAACUGACAUCUGAGUUACAGCAGCGGCAGGCUGAGUACGAGGAUCUCAUGGGACAGAAAGAUGACCUCAACUCCCAGCUCCAGGUAACACAUAUGACCCUGCGCAGUCUCACAAGUUCCCCAGUACUGUCUCAGUGACAUCUGUGUUGUUGAGUGGAAAGACUGGAGUUAGGACAUAGAUGCCAGUGUAGUCCCUAAUUCUUAUCAGUACCUAUAUGUUCUGG
ensembl:lincRNA